rnacentral:rRNA from 1 species
GCACAGAGUUAGCCGGUGCUUAUUCUGUCGGUAACGUCAAAACACUAACGUAUUAGGUUAAUGCCCUUCCUCCCAACUUAAAGUGCUUUACAAUCCGAAGACCUUCUUCACACACGCGGCAUGGCUGCAUCAGGGUUUCCCCCAUUGUGCAAUAUUCCCCA